GAUAUGGCUCAGAGUGAACGCUGGCGGCGUGCCUAAUACAUGCAAGUCGAACGGACAAGUAAGAGCUUGCUCUUAUGAGUUAGUGGCGCACGGGUGAGUAAUGUAUAGCUAAUCUGCCCUACACUAGAGGACAACAGUUGGAAACGACUGCUAAUACUCUAUACUCCUGUCUUACAUAAUUUAGAUAGGGAAAGUUUUUCGGUGUAGGAUGAGGCUAUAUUGUAUCAGCUAGG
rnacentral:rRNA from 1 species